ensembl:snRNA U6 U6 spliceosomal RNA
AUGCUUGCUUUGGAAACACAUGUACUAAAAUUCUCUGUAAUGAUACUGAUAAAAUUAGCAUGGCCCCUGGGUAAGGAUGAAAUACAAAUUCGUGUAGCGUUCCAUAUUAAA